UACGGUAGGGACCGAGCGUUGUCCGGAAUCAUUGGGCGUAAAGAGCGUGUAGGCGGCUUGCUAAGUCUUGCGUGAAAUCUCGGGGCUCAACCCCGAGCGGUCGUGGGAAACUGGCAGGCUAGAGUGCGGGAGAGGAGAAUGGAAUUCCUGGUGUAGCGGUGAAAUGCGCAGAUAUCAGGAAGAACACCCGUGGCGAAGGCGGUUCUCUGGAACGCAACUGACGCUGAGACGCGAAAGCGUGGGGAGCAAACAGG
rnacentral:rRNA from 1 species